rnacentral:lncRNA from 1 species
UUUUUUUUUUUUUUUUUUUUUUUUAAGGGCUGCACGCGUGAAGCACAUGGAGGUUCCCAGGCUAGGGGUCAAAUCGGAGCUGCGGCUGCCGGCCUACACCACAGCCACAACAACGCUUGGGAUCCAAGCCACAUCUGUGACCUACACCACAGCUCAUGGCAAUGCCCAAUCUUUCACCCACUGAGCGAGGCCAGGGAUCGAACCUUCCUCCUCACGGAUACUAGUCGGGCUUGUUACCGCUGAGCCACGAUGGGAACUCCAAGCAGUAGUAUUUAAAGCCAACAUCCGUGUGGAGAAGUGGAGAUAAACCAGGAAAGGAUAAUAAAUGAGGGACUCUCUGCUCAACAACCCCUUUUGGGCUGGGGCAUGCCACUUCUCAGAGGGUGGGCUCGCUGUUUUGAUGACAUCACUUUGGUCAGUGAGGACGGAUCUGGGCCCUGGUGAAAUGUGUUCUUGGAGGCUGAGACUGACGCUCUGAAAGGGAGGCUGUGGCACCACACCUGGAAUCCAGCUCUCACGACAUCUGCUCUAAGGGGUGGAUUCCAACCUUCUUCUCUGGGAGAGGUUCAAUUUCCUGACGCCACCUUUGUCUCUGAAAAGUGUUGCCUACCAAAUAUUUUUAAGAAAAGGUGGAUUUCGAUUCAUUUUCCCAUAGGAUUGGCUUCAGAAAGUCUCAGUAAUCUUGUGCUCUCUAGAACUACCCAAGGAGCCCUCCAAACCAGAAAAAAUAGAAUUCGGGUCAUUCUGAACAAUUUCCCCACAGCCUUUGCUGAGACACCUGUGAAUCAAGACUUGGUUAAAUUGUCACUGCUCAUUGAUCACCUGUGAAAAAAGCAAAGUGCUUUGUGUACCAGGGAUAGAUAUAUAAAAACUCUUGCUUGGUAGGCCAGAAUUACCAUUUGUCAUGUUUCUCUCUUUCUUUUUAAAAUCAUAUGAGUAAUUGUAUUCAUUUUUUAAUUUUGUUUUUGUUGUUUUUUCUAUUGUGGCUACCUUGCGGCAUAUGUACUUCCCAGGCCAAGGAUCAAGUUCAGAUCUGAACUUACAACCUACGCUGCGGCUCUGGCGAUGCUGAAUCCUUUAACUCACCCUGCCUGGCCUGGAUCGAACCUGCAUCCUGGCGCUACAGAGACACCUCAGAUCCAGUUGUGCCACCGUGGGAACUCCUUGUCAUAUUUCUUAAAGCCACAACACAUUGACUCAUAACUGAUACAGUCACUCAUUCAUUUAUUUAUGAAUAAAUCACAAUCGACCGCCUCCGAUUGGUUAAGACGUUGGGGGCCUUGUGAAGCUUCAGGAUGUCAAGGUAGCACUUGGAAUUGUAGAACUGGCCAUACCGAGGGCUGUGAACAGUUUGACUGAGCCGUAGUUAUUCCACUUACAUGGAAGCAAACAGUGUCUGUUAGAAUAAUAGCUUAAAAGUGGUGAGGUGUGACUUCAAACAGAUUAGAUCAAAAUUUCAAAAUUUGGUCUUGUCUGUUCAUUUUUUAAAGCAAGGGACGGCGGAGAAGAUGGUGGAUCUUGCACUUUCAUACGAAGCGUAUUUUUAUGUAAAGAAGAUGGAGUUUUACUUAUCCUUGUAAAUAUUUCAUAUUGUAGGUAAUCAUGAUAGGAGGUGUUUUCUAAUUUUCGACUUAAGAGCCGUAAAGAUUAGAGUCUAUGACAUUGAGGAAUUGUAAGAGCCUCCAGGGAUGUUUCAGAUAUAAGAAAGUGCAGCGAGCCUGUCCGUAUAACUGAUCACACGUCAACCUGGCUGCUUAUUCAGAAAUCAAUGCCACUCGCAGAUACGGAGGCACAGUUUCUGAGGCAAAGGGGAUGGAAUAAAAGAUACACUGUAGCUAUCUGGUGGCGUUGAGUUUUCAGAUCUCCCAAUAGGCUACAUUUAGAGAGAGAAAGGAAGCCUGGGUCAUUGUUCCCGUCACAUGAAAUGGUUUAAGUGCAUAGAGAAAUACAUCAGCAAGAGUGAAGAAUUAUAAGAAAGGAUGCCAAUUGCUUCAAAGUCUUUAGCCCAGGAUUACGCUCAUAUAAAGUUGAGCUCCUACAUUCUUGUAAAAAGGCAUCCGGAUGGGAUGUCUCUGGUCUCAGUCAGCGGAGUCUACUGGUUCCCUGAGAAAGUGUAAUGACCCCCAGCCCAGCCAGUUCUCACUCCAUUUUAAUCUCCUCUCCUCCUCCUGUUACUUUCAGUAGAUUCUAAAUUCCAAAGUGUCUGUUCUAUUCAUCGGAAUCUUAGUGCAAUUUGAAAAUAAUUUGGGGAGUUACCAUGGUGGUGCAGCAGAAACGAAUCCGACUAUUAUCCAUGAGGAUGCGGGUUCAAUCCCUGGCCUCGCUCAGUGGGUUAAGGAUCCCACGUUGCUGUGGCUGUGGUGGAGGCCGGCAGCUGUAGCUCCGAUUCGACCCCUAACCUGGGAACUUCCCUGUCCUGCAAGUGCGGCCCUAAAAAGCAAAUAAAUAAAUAAGUAAAUAAAUAAAAUAAUUUUAUCCAUUUCAUUGUUCAUAGAUUCUAUAUAACAUAACGUCCAACAACAGGCCUCCCUCACUUUGCAUUUCAAAUGUGCUUCUGAGAAGCUGUAAACUGAAUGAUAUGUUCCGUGCAUUCAGGAAACUAAUGAUUUGAAAGCACACUAUGGCGAAUUCUUCUGUAAUUCAGGUGUUAGGUAAGCUCGUGGUUCCCUGGAUUGGAUUUUAUUAAACCAGAGUGUUUUUAGUACUAGCACUGAUGCAAGACAUAAUUCACACCAGACGCUGAAUGUUCAAUGAAAGCCGCUGAAGCAUAGACUAUUUAAAUGGCGAAAAAGAUACUUUCACCUUUAAAAGAUGUUUAAACACCUGCUUGUAUUGCAAAAUUAGCUUAAAGUCAAGUUCACGUCUGCGUAUAUGUAUCCUCUUUCUGAUUUUGAAAAUUGAACCCAUCUUUCUAGUUGGGCUCAUAUGGGGGAUUCUCAAAGCAGGGGAUUGCCCAGGUAACUUUAUCUUUUUUUUUAAUAGUCCAGACAAAGGAAUUAAAAAAAAAAACAAAAAAACCUUUUCACACAUGGCCAAAAAGUAAAAUAAAACCUUAAAGAUCAUUGUUCUCAUAACUAUUAUUUCCUCCCCAUUUUGUUAACUAAAUUGAUGUUUUUGCGGUAACUAGAUUGCAAAAUACUUUUAAAAAGUAACCAGAAGCCCUUGUCAGAACUUUGUUUACAAAAUGAGCAAAAACUGUGAACUAAUCUGCACAGCAGCACAGUGAAGACACCCCAUUUAGGGGAGAUGGCUUUAAAACUCUCUGUUUUUAUACCCUUCUACAUUUAUCUUAUCAAUAAAAUAUGAGACAAAAACAUACUAUCAUUGUAACCUAAGGGAUCAUUUUAUUAUUUUCUGUUUUUUUUUUUUUUAAAUUUCAAAUUUGUUUCUAAAGGAGCUUGAAUUAAUCCAUCUAAAAAAGAUUUAUUUCUACUUUGUGUUUUUUUCUUUUCUUUCUUUCUUUUUUUUUUCCACUGCACCUGCAGCAUGUAGAAGUUUCUGGGCCAGGGAUCCAGCCCUCACCACAGCAGUAACCCAGGCCACUGCAGCAAUGCCAAAUCCUUAACCCCCUGAGUCACCACAAGGGGAAUCCUACGCUGUGUUUUUUGAUACUGUGAUUCACACCGUGAUGAGUGUGGCAUUGGAACCUACCUUCAGAGAGCAUAUUAUCAGUCUACUGGGAAAAAGAAAGCAUGCAUAUAAAUAACACAGUAUUACUGCUAUUGGGUGAGGUAGGGAGAGCGCCAGAAAAGGGAGAAGUUAUCCACAGCUGGAGGAAAGCAUUCUCACAUCCGUGGGGGAAGCAUUCUCACUGGGAAACAUCCUGUGGCAAAGGCUCAAGUGACCCAGGUAGAGGUCCUCCGAGAGGCAAGUAUGCUAUUUCUUUGAAGUAUUGACUGGAAUAAAUGGGGGGGUGGUGGAAUUCAGAUCACACGGGGCUGUGAAUGCCAGGCCGAACAAAUUAAACCAUCUUCUACGCAGUGGGUAGUUACAGAAGAGUUUUGAGCACCGGAGGGUUAUGGUACAAUGGAUGUUUCAAGAAAAUGACUCCUACACGGGUGUAAAUCAUGGAUGGAGAGGAGAGGAAGGGAGCUUCAGAGACUGUGGAGGCAGCCAGAGGAUGUCACCGCCAUUCAGAUGGGAGGAGGUGAGAAUGUGAAUCAGAAAGGGCAGAUCCAGGCAGGACAACCCCACCCUGAGAAGGGAAGGGUUGGAUGGUUCUGGGAAGGGAGCCUGUCGCAGGGCAGGUGGAGGGGGAAGGCAUUUAGGUAUUCACCUCCCUGCCUGGGAGAGUGAGGGUAGCUUCCAAUGAACAGAAAUGGGAAAAACAGGCCCAGAAGGAGGCUUGGGAGUAAAAUACUAAUUCCACAAAUUUGUAAUCUAGGCCCUACACAAUGUUUGAGGGAGGUGUUUCGUACUUUCUGCAAAAAAAAUACAGUGAUUUCCACAAUUUCUUAUUUAGGCAUUUACAUAUUUAGGUCGUUUUUUCCUUCCUAAAUUAAUACAAGAAUUUAAUUAAUUUAUCAAAUCACGUUGCUGGCAAGUCCCGAAUAUUCGGCACGCAUACUGUUACCCUUCAUAGAUUUUUGCCAUGACUCAGUGCCCCAAUUCCUAACAACUAAACUCUUUAAUUAAAGAAAAUAAUGAAAUGAGUGUAGCUUGCGUUCUCCUUUUUAAAACUCAGUAAUCCAUGUGAUAUGAUCCCUUGUUUUAGAGUUAUUUAAAAAUUAUGUGGACGUUCCCGUUGUGGAGUUCCCGUUGAGGCCCUGCAGACAUGAAUCCGACUAGUACCCAUGAGAAUAUGGGUCUGAUCCCUGGCCUCCCUCAGUAGGUUAAGGCUCCAAUGUUGCUGUGAGCUGUGGUGUAGGUCACAGACAUGGCUGUGGCUGCGGUGUUGGCUGGCAGCUGUAUCUCCGAUUUGACCCCCUAGCCUGGGAACUUCCAUAGGCCGUGGGUGCAGCCCUAAAAAGCAAAAAAUAAAAA